UCUUUAGGCAAAUCCGGAGAGCUAAGACCGAGACGUGAUAACGAGUCUACUUGUAGACGAAGUGAUUGAUACCAUGCUUCCAAGAAAAGCCACUAAGCUUCAGUUGUAUAAGACCGUACCGCAAACCGACACAGGUGGGCAGGAUGAGAAUUCUAAGGCGCUUGAGAGAACUCGAGAGAAGGAACUCGGCAAAAUAGCACCGUAACUUCGGGAGAAGGUGCGCCCCG
rnacentral:rRNA from 1 species